UUCGCCCUUAGAGUUUGAUCCUGGCUCAGGAUGAACGCUGGCGGCGUGCCUAACACAUGCAAGUCGAGCGAGAAGCUUCUGAUAGAUUCUUCGGAUGAAAGAGGAAGCGGAAAGCGGCGGACGGGUGAGUAACGCGUAGGCAACCUGCCUCUCACAGAGGGAUAGCCAUUGGAAACGAUGAUUAAAACCUCAUAACGCCGGAGAGAGACAUCUCCCUCCGGCCAAAGAUUUAUCGGUGAGAGAUGGGCCUGCGUCUGAUUAGCUGGUUGGCGGGGUAACGGCCCACCAAGGCGACGAUCAGUAGCCGACCUGAGAGGGUGAUCGGCCACAUUGGAACUGAGACACGGUCCAAACUCCUACGGGAGGCAGCAGUGGGGAAUAUUGCACAAUGGGCGAAAGCCUGAUGCAGCAACGCCGCGUGAAGGAAGAAGGCCUUCGGGUCGUAAACUUCUGUCCUUGGGGAAGAAGAACUGACGGUACCCAUGGAGGAAGCCCCGGCUAACUACGUGCCAGCAGCCGCGGUAAUACGUAGGGAGCAAGCGUUGUCCGGAUUUACUGGGUGUAAAGGGUGCGUAGGCGGCUUUGCAAGUCAGAUGUGAAAUUUAUGGGCUCAACCCAUAAACUGCAUUUGAAACUGCUUAGCUUGAGUGAAGUAGAGGCAGGCGGAAUUCCCUGUGUAGCGGUGAAAUGCGUAGAGAUAGGGAGGAACACCAGUGGCGAAGGCGGCCUGCUGGGCUUUUACUGACGCUGAGGCACGAAAGCGUGGGUAGCAAACAGGAUUAGAUACCCUGGUAGUCCACGCUGUAAACGAUGAUUACUAGGUGUGGGGGGUCUGACCCCUUCCGUGCCGCAGUUAACACAAUAAGUAAUCCACCUGGGGAGCACGGCCGCAAGGUUGAAACUCAAAGGAAUUGAGGGGGGCCCGCACAAGCAGUGGAGUAUGUGGUUUAAUUCGAAGCAACGCGAAGAACCUUACCAGGUCUUGACAUCCAACUAACGAAGUAGAGAUACAUCAGGUGCCCUUCGGGGAAAGUUGAGACAGGUGGUGCAUGGUUGUCGUCAGCUCGUGUCGUGAGAUGUUGGGUUAAGUCCCGCAACGAGCGCAACCCUUGCUAUUAGUUGCUACGCAAGAGCACUCUAAUAGGACUGCCGUUGACAAAACGGAGGAAGGUGGGGACGACGUCAAAUCAUCAUGCCCCUUAUGACCUGGGCUACACACGUACUACAAUGGUCGUUAACAGAGGGAAGCAAUACCGCGAGGUGGAGCAAACCCCUAAAAACGGUCUCAGUUCAGAUUGUAGGCUGCAACCCGCCUGCAUGAAGUCGGAAUUGCUAGUAAUCGCGGAUCAGCAUGCCGCGGUGAAUACGUUCCCGGGCCUUGCACAAACGGCCCGUCA
rnacentral:rRNA from 1 species